CCUACGGGGGGCUGCAGUGGGGAAUAUUGCACAAUGGGCGCAAGCCUGAUGCAGCCAUGCCGCGUGUGUGAAGAAGGCCUUCGGGUUGUAAAGCACUUUCAGCGGGGAGGAAGGCGGUGAGGUUAAUAACCUCAUCGAUUGACGUUACCCGCAGAAGAAGCACCGGCUAACUCCGUGCCAGCAGCCGCGGUAAUACGGAGGGUGCAAGCGUUAAUCGGAAUUACUGGGCGUAAAGCGCACGCAGGCGGUCUGUCAAGUCGGAUGUGAAAUCCCCGGGCUCAACCUGGGAACUGCAUUCGAAACUGGCAGGCUAGAGUCUUGUAGAGGGGGGUAGAAUUCCAGGUGUAGCGGUGAAAUGCGUAGAGAUCUGGAGGAAUACCGGUGGCGAAGGCCGCCCCCUGGACAAAGACUGACGCUCAGGUGCGAAAGCGUGGGGAGCAAACAGGAUUAGAUACCCUAGUAGUC
rnacentral:rRNA from 1 species